rnacentral:misc_RNA from 1 species
GUUGAUAUUUCUGGAUGAUUUGGCCCAUUGGAUCAAAAUUCCAGCUGAAUGGGUACAGUACUAUACUCCAGUGCUCUCAAUUCGCCCCCCUCCAGGUGUGUCACCAUCGAGCGUUGUUGGGAAGAUAAACGAAGGACUGCAGUCGGGAAAAGUUCAGAACGGAAAGCAUUUGAAAGUGUAUCUUAAGGAGGAGCUGCCUAGU